UAGAAGUCAGGUCGGAUUAAGCCAUAGUACGGAAAAAACUAUGCUACCUGUGAGCCCCGUCCAAGGACGUUAAAAGAAGUCAGGCCAUCAUAAAUGCCAUAGCUCGAGUAAACUAUGCUGCCUGUAGCUCCACCUGAGAAGGUGUAAAAAAUCUGGGAGGCCACAAACCAUGGAAGCUGUACGCAUGG
rnacentral:lncRNA from 1 species